GGAUUGGGAUUUAUUUAAUCGUUUAUUAUGUAAGAAAAAAUCAGAAAGCAAAAACCCUAAUUUCACUCUACCCUCAGCUCGAUCAAAUCUCCCUCUCCAAUCAUCUCUCUCUCUCUCUCUCUCUCUCUCUCUCUCUCUCUCUCUCUCCGAUCGUCUCUAGCUCCGAUCGUCUCUCUUCGACCGCACCCCGCGCCUUUGUCCCCUGGCUGAGCUCACAUCCGACGUCCCUGUCUCUGAUCUUUCCUUUACAUUUUGUAAGUUUUAUCUUUCUAGAUCUUUGCUUAGAGUUUUUUUAUUGGGCGCUUCUCUGGUGGAUAUUAUUGUGGUGAAGAGCACAAAUCUGAAAAGUGGCUUCGACACCAAGUAUUUGGCUACUGUUCUUGCCAUUGGUACAGAGUGUGAUAUUGGUUUAAGGAAUAGGAGGCACUUGGUUCUCGAUCCUUCAUCACUGAAAUUAUCGCUUCAAUUUCAGAAUGGAAGAUACAUACUUAGUCUCUCAAGGCUUUAGCUUUGAUUGCUAUCAGCUCUUCUCAGCAAGCUUCUAUUUGAAGAAAGUUUUGGAGAAUAAUGACAGUGUCCAUUAGCAGGGUAAUAUUAUGGCAAGUUACCAAGACGAUGCUUUUCCAGAGAUGAUUGAUCAAUGGGGCGGCAGAGAGGAUGUCUUGCCCUGAAGCGACCUUCUUAAUUACUUUUGAAAUUAAUAAUAUAUGGAUGUAUAGAUAUAGGAAGAACAUGAAAGUAAAAGAAAGAAUAAAUGAAAAAAAAAAGUUAUUUUUAUGAUUCUGAAAAUUAUUGUAAAUAUAAUAAUUUGAAUUUAUGUUUUUGAUUCUUAUUUUAUUAAUUUUUAUGUAUAUUAUUAUUUUGUUGAAA